rnacentral:rRNA from 1 species
GAUGAACGCUGGCGGCGUGCCUAAUACAUGCAAGUCGAGCGAACAGAUGAGGAGCUUGCUCCUCUGACGUUAGCGGCGGACGGGUGAGUAACACGUGGAUAACCUACCUAUAAGACUGGGAUAACUUCGGGAAACCGGAGCUAAUACCGGAUAAUAUAUUGAACCGCAUGGUUCAAUAGUGAAAGACGGUUUUGCUGUCACUUAUAGAUGGAUCCGCGCCGCAUUAGCUAGUUGGUAAGGUAACGGCUUACCAAGGCAACGAUGCGUAGCCGACCUGAGAGGGUGAUCGGCCACACUGGAACUGAGACACGGUCCAGACUCCUACGGGAGGCAGCAAUAGGGAAUCUGCCGCAAUGGGCGAAAGCCUGACGGAGCAACGCCGCGUGAGUGAUGAAGGUCUUCGGAUCGUAAAACUCUGUUAUUAGGGAAGAACAAAUGUGUAAGUAACUAUGCACGUCUUGACGGUACCUAAUCAGAAAGCCACGGCUAACUACGUG